rnacentral:tRNA from 1 species
GGGCCUAUAGUUCAAUGGUAGAAUUGUGGUCUCCAAAACCACAGACCUAGGUUCGAUUCCUAGUGGGCCCG